CCGGGGCUCAGCGGCUCAGGGGCCGGUGGCCGCCGGUUCGGUGCCGGCCCGGGCGGAGGCCGGACCGGUGCCGUUCGGGCUCGGCCGCUCCGGACC
rnacentral:tRNA from 1 species